GGCCUCGUAGUCUAGUGGUCAGGAUAUCCGCCCGGCAAGCGGGUGACGUGUGGUUCGAUUCCCACCGAAGCAGCA